CUUCGGUGGGGAUUAGUGGCGAACGGGUGAGUAACACGUGGGCAAUCUGCCCUUCACUCUGGGACAAGCCCUGGAAACGGGGUCUAAUACCGGAUACGACACUCUCGGGCAUCCGAUGAGUGUGGAAAGCUCCGGCGGUGAAGGAUGAGCCCGCGGCCUAUCAGCUUGUUGGUGAGGUAACGGCUCACCAAGGCGACGACGGGUAGCCGGCCUGAGAGGGCGACCGGCCACACUGGGACUGAGACACGGCCCAGACUCCUACGGGAGGCAGCAGUGGGGAAUAUUGCACAAUGGGCGAAAGCCUGAUGCAGCGACGCCGCGUGAGGGAUGACGGCCUUCGGGUUGUAAACCUCUUUCAGCAGGGAAGAAGCGAAAGUGACGGUACCUGCAGAAGAAGCGCCGGCUAACUACGUGCCAGCAGCCGCGGUAAUACGUAGGGCGCGAGCGUUGUCCGGAAUUAUUGGGCGUAAAGAGCUCGUAGGCGGUCUGUCGCGUCGGAUGUGAAAGCCCGGGGCUUAACCCCGGGUCUGCAUUCGAUACGGGCAGACUAGAGUGUGGUAGGGGAGAUCGGAAUUCCUGGUGUAGCGGUGAAAUGCGCAGAUAUCAGGAGGAACACCGGUGGCGAAGGCGGAUCUCUGGGCCAUUACUGACGCUGAGGAGCGAAAGCGUGGGGAGCGAACAGGAUUAGAUACCCUGGUAGUCCACGCCGUAAACGGUGGGAACUAGGUGUUGGCGACAUUCCACGUCGUCGGUGCCGCAGCUAACGCAUUAAGUUCCCCG
rnacentral:rRNA from 1 species